GAUGAACGCUGGCGGCGUGCCUAAUACAUGCAAGUCGAGCGAACAGACGAGGAGCUUGCUCCUCUGACGUUAGCGGCGGACGGGUGAGUAACACGUGGAUAACCUACCUAUAAGACUGGGAUAAAUUCGGGAAACCGGAGCUAAUACCGGAUAAUAUAUUGAACCGCAUGGUUCAAUAGUGAAAGACGGUUUUGCUGUCACUUAUAGAUGGAUCCGCGCCGCAUUAGCUAGUUGGUAAGGUAACGGCUUACCAAGGCGACGAUGCGUAGCCGACCUGAGAGGGUGAUCGGCCACACUGGAACUGAGACACGGUCCAGACUCCUACGGGAGGCAGCAGUAGGGAAUCUUCCGCAAUGGGCGAAAGCUUGACGGAGCAACGCCGCGUGAGUGAUGAAGGUCUUCGGAUCGUAAAACUCUGUUAUUAGGGAAGAACAAAUGUGUAAGUAACUAUGCACGUCUUGACGGUACCUAAUCAGAAAGCCACGGCUAACUACGUG
rnacentral:rRNA from 1 species